rnacentral:rRNA from 1 species
AGAGUUUGAUCCUGGCUCAGAUUGAACGCUGGCGGUAGGCUUAACACAUGCAAGUCGAGCGGUAACAGACAUUUUGAUUUUGCUUGCAAAAUCUCGUGCUGACGAGCGGCGAACGGGUGAGUAACGCGUAGGAAUCUACCUAGUAGAAGGGGAUAGCCCGAGGAAACUCGGAUUAAUACCGUAUACGUCCUUAGGGAGAAAGAGGGCUUAGCUUUGAUGCUCUCGCUAUUAGAUGAGCCUGCGUAAGAUUAGCUUGUUGGUGAGGUAAAGGCUCACCAAGGCGACGAUCUUUAGCUGGUCUGAGAGGACGAUCAGCCACAUUGGGACUGAGACACGGCCCAGACUCCUGCGGGAGGCAGCAGUGGGGAAUAUUGGACAAUGGGCGCAAGCCUGAUCCAGCCAUACCGCGUGUGUGAAGAAGGCCUUCGGGUUGUAAAGCACUUUAAGUAAGGAAGAAAAGAGUAUUGUUAAUACCAUUACUCCGUGACAUUACUUACAGAAUAAGGACCGGCUAAUUCCGUGCCAGCAGCCGCGGUAAUACGGAAGGUCCAAGCGUUAAUCGGAAUUACUGGGCGUAAAGCGCGCGUAGGUGGUUUAUUAAGUUGGGUGUGAAAGCCCCGGGCUCAACCUGGGAACUGCAUCCAAAACUGAUUCACUAGAGUACGAAAGAGGAAAGUAGAAUUCACAGUGUAGCGGUGGAAUGCGUAGAUAUUGUGAAGAAUACCGAUGGCGAAGGCAGCUUUCUGGUUCUGUACUGACACUGAGGUGCGAAAGCGUGGGGAGCGAACAGGAUUAGAUACCCUGGGUAGUCCACGCCCUAAACGAUGCUUACUCGAUGUUUGUACAUAAGUAUGAGCAUCCAAAGGAAACCGUUAAGUAAGCCACCUGGGGAGUACGUUCGCAGAAUGAAACUCAAGGAAUUGACGG